rnacentral:rRNA from 1 species
UACAGAGGUCCCAAGCGUUGUUCGGAUUCACUGGGCGUAAAGGGUGCGUAGGUGGUGAUCUAAGUCGGGUGUGAAAUCUCCGGGCUCAACCCGGAGACUGCGCUCGAAACUGGAUCGCUAGAGGAUGGGAGGGGAGACUGGAAUUCUCGGUGUAGCAGUGAAAUGCGUAGAUAUCGAGAGGAACACCGGUGGCGAAGGCGAGUCUCUGGACCAUUCCUGACACUGAGGCACGAAAGCCGGGGGAGCAAACAGG